GAGUUUGAUCGUGGCUCAGGAUGAACGCUGGCGGCGUGCCUAAUACAUGCAAGUCGAACGAACAGAUAAGGAGCUUGCUCCUUUGACGUUAGCGGCGGACGGGUGAGUAACACGUGGGUAACCUACCUAUAAGACUGGGAAUAACUCCGGGAAACCGGGGCUAAUGCCGGAUAACAUGUUGAACCGCAUGGUUCUACAGUGAAAGACGGUCUUGCUGUCACUUAUAGAUGGACCCGCGCCGUAUUAGCUAGUUGGUGGGGUAACGGCCUACCAAGGCGACGAUACGUAGCCGACCUGAGAGGGUGAUCGGCCACACUGGAACUGAGACACGGUCCAGACUCCUACGGGAGGCAGCAGUAGGGAAUCUUCCGCAAUGGGCGAAAGCCUGACGGAGCAACGCCGCGUGAGUGAUGAAGGUCUUCGGAUCGUAAAGCUCUGUUGUUAGGGAAGACAAAUGUGUAAGUAACUGUGCAUAUCUUGACGGUACCUAACCAGAAAGCCACGGCUAACUACGUGCCAGCAGCCGCCG
rnacentral:rRNA from 1 species